rnacentral:lncRNA from 1 species
UCCCAUCCCCUUUGCGCCUGCCAUAUUUAUGGUGUUACUGAUGCUACUAAGCCCAGCCAAGUUACCACCCAUGUUUCCCAUGCCCAUAGCAGCUCCUAUCACCAUUUGUCUUUGCAACAUCGAUUGUCGUUGCUGCUGCUGCUGCUGCUGUUGCGCUUGCUGUGGCUGUUGCUGCUGUAAAAUCUGAAGAUGCGGAGGUGGUGGCUUAUUUGCCAUGUGAUUGCCCAACUGAAUACUGGCAUUCAACUGUGAGAGGGGAUUUGUAGCAAGCGUCAUUGGGGAUCUUGCAAACUGAGCAAGAUGCUGUUGAACCAUAGGAUUUUGGUGCUGCUGCUGCAGCUGCUGAGCCUGUUGCUGCAAUGAGGACUGUGAAUCUAGCUGUUGUGGUCGUCCAGGCACAGAGACUCCCGGAGCUAUUUGUGAGGCAUGAGGGUUUCCAGGAGGCAGCAUCCUUGCAUGUGGAGGAAUAUUCACAGAUGAACUAAGAGAUACGUUGCCACUAUUAGAGGUAGGCAACACUUCACUGGACAAUUGACCUGAAACUCCUUCAGGACAGCGGGGGAUAUCGGCAAUGGAAUUAUUAUGAGGAAUUCCAGGAGCAUUAGGUUGAUUGCUUGGAGCAAGAUUCAUGCGGGUCGGUUUUGGUUGGACCUGAUCUUCCACAUGAAAUCCUUCGCGUGUCAUCUGCAGAAACAUUCAAUAUCAUUUGAUUGAAAUGUAAAUCGAUAUCGGAUAGCUUUAAGCACUUAAGCUUGACCUGUUUUCAUAAACCUACCAAUGAGCAUAACUGGGCUCCAAGCAAAUCUGCCAAAUGCUGUAUCAGAAAUUCAAUCACAGAUGUUAGCCAUAAUGUUGAAAGAAAAACAUACUUUCUUGUGAGGCAAGGUAAGAAUAAGGCCACAUAGUGCAUAUGAUAAACAGGAAACCACAUCUUCCAAUUAUUAAGUAGGUGAACACACUGAAAUGCCAUUUGACAUUAGAAAGAUUUAUAGGCAAGACUCCUACGGUAUUUGGUAGUGUCGGAAGAUGCUCCUCUGAAGCCAGAAUAUCACCCUCUUCCAAAUCUCCAUAGUGCAUAGCAACGGUACCAUCGCUUGAUUUCUCUGACAUGAUCAUCUUGGUCUGAGGCCGGGAGACAACAGUCCCUAUACAAACAGGAGAAAGCCCAUGUUAAUCGAAAGAAAGUUCAUGCAAGUGAUGUUGCUUUUGUCUUUCAUUACAUUAUCCUCUCUACAACAUUAAAAUUAGCAUCUCAUCCUUCCAAAAUCAUUCAAGUUGGGUGUUGUUUAUCAAACCAAAAGACAUUCUUUUGGUGUCUUUUCUACAGGUGGUACCGUAUGUGACAGACUUUUAACACAUCGAGAUUGGGCAAGUACAAGUAACAGGAAUUUAACUCCACGCCACAUGAGAUUGGGUACUUUGCAUUGUGGCCAAUAUAAUGGUAAAUACUGCAAAAUUCUAGCAGCCAGCAGCAAUUUUAAGUCAGCAUAAAAUGAGAAGGACAGUUGUAGCAAAGUCCAAGGUACGAUUAAUAUCAGACCGGAGAAAUCAAUUUUAUGCUGCCAUAGAUCAUCUCCACAUGAAAGAUGCAACAAACCUUGAAGAUUUUGCUCUAGCUGCGAAAACUUAAGGACUCUAGUCUUGCAAAUAUUCGUGCUGCCUCCUACCAGUGACUUCAAGAGUGGUCUGGCACAUGAGUCAUCCUUAAAAUUCACAUCGUUGGAGACAUUGUGUAGACAUACCAAAAGAUUCUCAGUCAGGAAGGCACCAGGCUUUGUGGCUGGGUAACCUGCCUUGUUCUUUUUGUGGUCUAUUUGGUGCCUGAAGCAUCAUUGGAUGAGGGACAGUACUCAGAAUGAAAUGAAUUAUAUAUUUGAUAUUUAUAUCAGAAAACAGAUGCCAAUAAUUGCCUGAGAAAAAUAAUGUAACAAUGCUUCUGGAUGCACAUGUAAAGCACGUGGACUAAGAAUAUUUCGAACUUACGUUUUCAAGAUUUACUGUACUUCAUAUUACUUAACUCAAUUACGAGUCAAAGUCAAGCAGCAAGCACAAUAGCAACAUAUAAGUUGUCAUGGUUGCAGCAUGGUAAUUAGAGCAUCCUAUGCUUUAAAGAAGGACAAAGCUUACUGAUAUAAUCCACAUCUAAAUGCCAUCUAGAUCAGCCUCAUGAUCAAGAACGCAAUUAGAUCAUUUUUCAAACUAUUGUCUCACUGGGAGCUAGAAAUUUAAAACUCGUGACAACAGAUAGAUGUUGUAGACAUCUAUCCUUAAUCUACAUUUCCAUCAGAGGUAGAUGUUCGCUAAAAAGCUAUUAAUUUAAUAGGAAUACAUCCUGAAAACAGAUCAAAGUUCCUGAUUGCUCUGAAAAUCAUUAGCCAACCACCAUAAAUACUCCAACUGGCUUCGCCUAUAAUCAUGUAAAUUGGUGCUUUACAUAGAAAAAAUAAGAUUGGUAUCCCAGUUUUUCAAGUUCUAGACAACCAGCUUUGCUGCAUUGCUGAUGCGGCUAACUAAACUUUUUCUCAUCCUCGAUAUUAUCAUUAAGACUCUGUAUUAACAAACUCCGGGCAAGUAAAUUACUGAAGAGAAAUUAUAAACUAUAAAACUGAAAAAUGUCUGACUAGCAGAAAUACAGGAGGGAAAACAAGACAGAGCAACAGGCUUCAGAGCUCAAUCAACCUCAUACCUCGUCAUAAUUGUAUCAAUCUUUAAAAACUUCUCAAGCAUUGUCUGAUCAACCAGAGGUGGGGUUCCAACAGAAGGACUGCUCGCAUUUAAUGCAACACCAAUGUUGCUCACGCUAGCAGGAGAGCCAACACCGCUGAUUAUUGGCGUCUUUGGAAGUGAAUUCUGUCUUCGUUUUGCAGCAGCCUGAGCCUGGUUCUGUUGUAGUGUUGAAUCAUUGGCACUAGAUGUUAAAGAUCCUGUCGCUCCAACAGGAGGAACUGAGGUUAUUCCAGCCCUUUCCUUGGGCAACAAUCCAGGCACAGGAGUUGCUGCAGCUGCCCCAUACUGUGGUCCAGCUGAACUGCUAGAAAAUUCCCCUGAUUUUGAUGACAAGGGAGAUUGAGCCAAGGUUCCACCAGAUAGGCGUGGGCUUUGCACUGCUUUCCUUUUUUGUAUCUGUUCCUCCUCUUUCAAAUUACUAUCAAUCUGCUGAUUGACGUUACUAUCAAAUCUUCCAUCCCCUGUGAAGUCCUCAGCAAGCACCGAAUCUUCAAAGCCAGCAAUACUUUUCGUUUCCUCGCUUUUACCACUAGCGGAAUGUGAAGGUUGCUGAAGCUCACUUGGCGGAAAGUAACUAUUUUUGUUGGGUGAAAGAGAAUCAUUCUCUGUUUCCUCGCUGUGAGUUUCGUCAAUUUGGAUUCUGUUCAUGCCCAAAUUAAGUUCCGGGUCUGCAGGCUGAGAAGACAAGCAACAUAUUGAUUUCAAUCUACUUAAUACCUGAGCAGCAGUGAUUCAAGUCAAAGGCCCCCCGGAACUAAAAUGGUUUCUAAUUUGUUGCGAAAAAGAAGUCACAUUGAGAGAUAGAUGAUACCACGGACUUCAGUUUACUAUAAUAAACUAAAGGAACUUACAAGUGCAGAAAUACAGUAGACAUGAAGCUGAAUUGUUACAUCAGCACUAAUCUUUUACCGAUGAAACAAACAAGCAGCGAUGUCUGCUAUCAAUUUUGUCCAUAGAUUUCCAUCAUCUGUCGUACGCAUGCAUUAAUAAUGCUCAUUCAUCCCAUGUUAAUCACACUUCCGAUUUUCGCCGACAGAUAAAUCCUUUUUUCUCUUUCAGUCCAACAGUGAGGGUUCGGUUCUUUUUCUUGCGAACUUUAAAAUUAUGCAAUUGUUUCUCCAUGUAUUCUUUCAUUAAGGGACGUGUAUCGCGCGGUGCAUCAUUUCUAGUUCACCUAAAAAUAAAAAGGUCAUUGUCAUUACCAUAACGUCACAAACACCCCCAUCAUAUCUACUAGCCAAAAAGCAGACUUUACUGAAACCCAUUGCAACAGAGAGAUGAACUUAUCUACUCCCAAAAUCAAACCCAGAAAAACAAGAGCAAAACGACGCAGACCCACGAGAGGAGGGACAAAGAUAAAACGAUACAACGACCGGACAAAUAACAAGUGCAUAAGAGAAGAGAGAGGGGACACGAGGAAAUUACAGAGGAGCGACGAUGCGCAGGACCACCCACCGGACGCCAAGCUCGGCCUCCCGGCGGGGCGGAGCUCGAUCCCACGUCGCUUGCUCUCCUGCCGCGAUUCAUCUGCUCCGGAAUUCGGAACUUGGGCCGUCGCAAAGAUCGGGUUUUUCCUCUUGUAGCGAGAGAAAGUCCGAGGACGAGAACGGCUUACAUACGUAUAUGUGCAUGCGUGUACGGCUUUCCGUCUUCCGCCUGCGAUGGAUUUCGCUGCGAAAAUCGAAACUGCUUUAAAUGCUUCGCGAAGUCUCGCCUUUUCCGACGUCGAAGAUUCAGGUUUCGAGGAUGACGGUAGUAAUAAGAGGGGAGUGAUCGAAAAUGUUGUUGUCGACCAGUGCCCAAGCAUUUCUAGGCCGAAGCCCGAAAAAAAAAAAAAAAAAAAAGAGCAUGCGCCGAGGAGUACAUAUAAUUGUCUAAAUAAUUAUUAGGAUAAAAACCGCCAAAUUUCCAAACUUUAUCUAUUGCGACACGUUUAUCAUGAAUUAUUCAUGUGAUACAUUUAAAACUUAUACAACAUGCCCUUAAACUUAUUUUUUGUGACACCAAACAAACUUUUAAAGACCCCAAACUUGUAUGUGUAUGACAUAUUCACAAAAAAAGUUUGAGAAUUUUGUGUAACAAAAAAAAAAUUGAAAUAAUAAGUUUGAAAUAAAUACAUCAUGGUUUUUGGCGUCGAAGAAAAAAGUUUAGAUUAAAUGUGUCAAAAUGGGUGAAUAAUUUAGGUAAAUGUAUUACUAUGGAUAAAAUUUGAAAUUUUUGUGUAGCUUUCUCCCUAAUUAUUAGGAAAACAUGGGCGAAGAUAGUAUACAAUACAAGUUUUCACUUAUUCUACAGCAAUAUAAAUCUUGCAUCUUGCAAACUAAUGACAAUUGUACCUUCCAGACUCAAUAAAUUGAAAUCACCUUCUUGAACAAAUGAGCAGUAGCUUCGCAAAUCGAGCAAGAUAUUUAUGAUCACGCGUCAUGUCGCGCAAGACUUUCACAAGCCUACUUGGAACGAAGAACUGUCAAAAUGCUAGUAACGAGGACACGAAAUCGCUUUAAGAAGUUAAAAAAACAGUCUGGCCAGAGAAUGAAGAAAGGAUCUGGCAGGAUCCACGGGGUAAUGUACAUGUACAUGAUAUCUCCAUGAAUAUUUGGCAUGAACUUGUUUCUGAUUAUUAUUUCUAACUACUAUAGACUACAUGAUUACAGGGAUUGUAGAGUAUGUCUUCACCACAAAGUCAGCCAAACAAGAAAAACCCAGAAGGAAAAGAAAAUGGGAAAGGAAGUAGACAGUCUUGACAUGCUCACUGCUCCGGCUCAACUGAUUGAAAAUUCACAUACAUCAUUCCGUUUCAUCCUUCAACCUUUGUACAUCGCAAUUUUCGCAUCUCAGAAUCCAAGAUCUCAUUCUCCUCUGCGGUUUGCGAGUUUCUUUCUUUCCCCUUACUGUCCUCUUACGCCGCCGUGAGUUCCAUGCUAUUGUAUGGGAAAUCCACCUCGGACAUCAAAACAAGACACAUCACAGUGCAGGUGUCCCGCUUUUAAUCAAUUUAUUGGUGAUUUCCAGCAUUGAGAUCAAUGGAGUCUAAAAAGCAGCCCUUUCCUAGAGAGCCAAGGGGAAAAUUUGUGCCUUGCCCCCUCCUCAAAGCCCCGGUGUCGAUUAUACUGGCACUUUUAUCAACAACUACCUCUUCCGCUCCAUCUUAUAUAAACAAAAACCUCUAAAAAAUCCUUCAACUUCUCUGCUAAGUUAAGAAACGAUUCAGAAGCGCAUAGGACAGGACUUCAUUAUGCACUGCUCAAGUUGCUUUUAUUAACACCUUGUAGCUCCAUAGGAGAAUUGUUUAUACUGCCAACUGAGCCAAGGGUCUGAGAACUCAACUGUGGACUAGCGGGACAAGCUUCUGGAUUACCAGCACUCAUGCCAUGCAUUGUCCCACAGCUGAUCUGUUGAGGGCUCACUGGGGUUCUUUGGCUCAUUUGCUGGGGACUAGACUGCUGUUGCUGCUGUUGGGAUUGUGAGCUCAAUUGUGGAAUUGCCAUGUUUGAAGGUGAACUUAUUUGUGGUGGUGACAUAACAACUUGCAAGGGUGAGGUUGUUUCUAGCUGAUGCAGCUGCUGCUGCUGCUGCAACUGUUGUUGCUGCAAUUGGAGAUGCUGCUGUUGCUGCUGUGGUUGCUGCUGCAAUUGCUGUUGCUGUUGUUGCAACUGCAUCUGCUGCUGCUGAUGCUGCAGCUGCUGUAGCUGCUGCUGUGGUGGCUGCUGCUGAUUCAUAUACAGAUUCAUCCCUGUCGACUUUGGUGGGCCCAUUGCCCCUGUUGGUGCAGACUGCAAAGUGCUCGUGAUAGCUCGAUUAGUGGCCAACAUUUGCGGGCCAGCAGAGCCCAGAAGCACCGAUCGAGGUCCAGAGACACCACCCAUGCCAGACUGAGUGCCCCCUAACACAGCUUGACCAUGCCUCACCCCCGGAUAUCUUAAAACGGGUUGCGGCAGUCGCGUUAUUGAAUUGCCAACGUAGGAGGCAUGGGGUAUGUUCACGGUAUUCUGACCCGUGGGGGCUGAAAUUCCAGCCCCUCCGCCCUUUGCACCUGGCAUACUCACGGUGUUACUCAUGCCACCCACCCAUGUUUCCCAUGCCCAUAGCAGCUCCUAUCACCAUUUGUCUUUGCAACAUCGAUUGUCGUUGCUGCUGCUGCUGCUGUUGCACUUGCUGUGGCUGUUGCUGCUGUAAAAUCUGAAGAUGCGGAGGUGGUGGCUUAUUUGCCAUGUGAUUGCCCAACUGAAUACUAGUAUUCUGGCUGGCAUUCAAGUGCAAGAGGGGAUUUGUACGAAAGUGACCAAGAUGUUGAACCAUAGGAUUUUGGUUAUGUUGUUGCUGCAGCUGCUGAGCCUGUUGC